AAAAAGAAGACACAUUACAGACCUGGUUUACAGACGGCCCUGCGUGGUAUGGCUGGCACCAUCUCAAAGCAGAAAGGCUACAGCACUCUAACCUCACUCAGGAGUGGUCCAGAAAGAUCAACUAGCAACGAUUUACAGACAAAACCACCUUGGUAAAAAUACCAAAAUGUGGGAGUAAUCCUGAGUCACUUGCAUUAUCUACAGAACUGAAUAAAAAUCUGCAUUGGAAGCUCUCACUCUGGGAGAAGCAAGCUACCACGUUGUGAAAAGCCCUAUGGAGAGGCCCACAUGAUGAGGAACUGAAGCUUUCAGCCACCAGCCAGGGAGGAAUGGAGCCCUGUCAGCAACCAUAGGAAUGAACUUGGAAGCAGAUUCACCAGCAACAGCCUAGCUCUGGUCAACAGCUCUAACAGCCUCAUGAGAGACCUGGUAGCAGAACCAUGCAGAUAUGCUGCUUUUUGAUUCCUCAGAAACUGUGAGAGAAAAUAAAUGUUUGUUUUUUAAAACUGCAAAUG
rnacentral:lncRNA from 10 species